rnacentral:rRNA from 1 species
AUUGAACGCUGGCGGCAGGCCUAACACAUGCAAGUCGAACGGAUGCAGGGAGCUGGUUGCUUGAUUCAUCAGGGGAGGGGGGAGUGAGGGCUAUGAAUGGGCCACUGAGUGGUGGAGGGCGUCCGGUAACGGGCGCGAUUACCAAAUACGUACAGCGGCGGAAGAUGGAGGAGCGGCAGAUCUGGCGCUCUCGCCAUAGGCUAGGUCUAGGUGGGAUUAGCUAGUGGGUGGGGUAACGGCUCACCCAGGCGACGAACCCUAACUGGUCUGAGAGGAUGACCAGCCACACUGGAACUGAGACACGGUCCAGACUCCUACGGGAGGCAGCAGUGGGGAAUAUUGGACAAUGGGCGCAAGCCUGAUGCAGCCAUGCCGCGUGUGUGAAGAAGGUCUUCGGAUUGUAAAGUACUUUCAGCGGGGAGGAAGGGAAGUAAGUUAAUACCUUGCUGCAUUGACGUUACCCACAGAAUAAGCACCGGCUAACUCCGUG